UACAGAGGGGGCAAGCGUUGUUCGGAAUUACUGGGCGUAAAGGGCGCGUAGGCGGCCUUCUAAGUCGAACGUGAAAUCCCCGGGCUCAACCCGGGAACUGCGUCCGAUACUGGAAGGCUUGAAUCCGGGAGAGGGAUGCGGAAUUCCAGGUGUAGCGGUGAAAUGCGUAGAUAUCGGGAGGAACACCAGUGGCGAAGGCGACUUCCUGGCCUGUUCUUGACGCUGAGGCGCGAAAGCCAGGGGAGCGAACGGG
rnacentral:rRNA from 1 species